GAAGGAAGAUCAUACAGGCUUCAACAUCCCUGGGUUGGAAAAGAUAGUGGAGAGAAUAAAUCAGGCCCCUAACUUUUGGAUAAGUGACUGUUCUCAUACUUGAAUCUCUCUCUUCAAGCUUGUCAGCCCCAGCUUUUACCACUGCACCAAGCACUGACCCCUGAUUUUAAAAAUAGCCUAGGACUUUUGCUGGGGAACUUUCAGUUUUCAGAUUUGGAUUGUGGUUUGAUACCAUGGUCUGUUCUCUAUAUAGUUUCAUAGUUCCUAUUAUUUGUGUCUCUCCAUUAAUUUGGUGCAGUUGGCAUUGGUUGCUUUGCGCAAGUCAAAUGAAGUUCAUGGUGUUCUCAACUUUAAGAGAUUUGAAUUGGUUCUGCAAGUAUUUAACAAAUUAAUUUCUUGUAGCUCACCUACCUUUCUUGGCUAAAAAAUUGUUUUGUUUUGUCAAAUGAUUUCUGUGCAGAUAUCUUGGGAGCAUCCUCUCUCACCAGCAUCCUGCACACACCAUCUCAGAGCUCACUGUUCCUCUGAAUGCCAUAGAUUUUUUGGCAAGUAAACUUGAGACCCCGACUGCUGCCGAUAUGAAGCAUGUUGACCGGAAGCUCAAAUCAUGUCGGGAUCCUGGCUCACAUGACAAGACUAAGAAACGGAAUCACAGGUCCAGAGAGGGUUCAAACGAAAUGCAUAACAUGCCUUCAGCACUGUAUGUUCUGCCACGUACAUUUUGGUUCUCUUACGGUCUUACCUAGUCUGGUUUUAAUUUUUCAUUCGGGUGCAUCUCAUUACCAGUUUUCACUAGGAAUCAAUAAUGGUGCUACAUCAUGGUACAAGGGGGUUCUACCUU